CACGGAAAGUACAAUUCCUUUCUUGCCCUCUUCAGAGACCUGGGAUGCUCAAAUGAUAGAUGUGCAGACCAAAAGCAAUGAAACUUAUUGCUCUGAUUGUGAUGGUUGAAAGAGAAACAACACUGACCUCCAGAAGUUUAGGGAGCAAAAUAAAUACAGAGUUUUAGCAUUAUGCAUCAAAACUGAGACCACUGAAUAACAUCCUGGAAACGUGGUGAGAAUAGACAUACAGUGUAAAAUAAAUCAGCUCUCAAAGGGAGAGUGAUGUGAAUGACUUA